rnacentral:lncRNA from 1 species
AUCCACUUCUAAGAGCAUAUGUUUCAUUCCAGCAGUGCGUGGACGAAAGUGUAUCUGUUCUGUGCAGCAGCUUAUGUGCCCUCAGAUGAUCCAGAAAGUAUCACAGACCCCUUUCUAGCUAUGUAUGGCAGAAACUCCUGCCUGGAGAAAUAGACUCAAAGGUGAAGAUUGAAAUGCUGCUUGAAGAGUUUCAAAGAGGAGACAAAGAGCUGGGGCAGGUCAUAACACACAAGCAUUUCAGCUUUAAAAAUCAGCAAGAACAGGAUAAGGAAAAUGUCGUUCCUUUGAAUUUACGUGCAUUCCACGGUUUUCUUCAACACAAAUAUACUCAAGUCCACUGAGAAGAUAGAGUUGCUUACCUGUG